CUGGCGGCGUGCCUAAUACAUGCAAGUCGAGCGAAUGGAUUGAGAGCUUGCUCUCAAGAAGUUAGCGGCGGACGGGUGAGUAACACGUGGGUAACCUGCCCAUAAGACUGGGAUAACUCCGGGAAACCGGGGCUAAUACCGGAUAAUAUUUUGAACUGCAUGGUUCGAAAUUGAAAGGCGGCUUCGGCUGUCACUUAUGGAUGGACCCGCGUCGCAUUAGCUAGUUGGUGAGGUAACGGCUCACCAAGGCAACGAUGCGUAGCCGACCUGAGAGGGUGAUCGGCCACACUGGGACUGAGACACGGCCCAGACUCCUACGGGAGGCAGCAGUAGGGAAUCUUCCGCAAUGGACGAAAGUCUGACGGAGCAACGCCGCGUGAGUGAUGAAGGCUUUCGGGUCGUAAAACUCUGUUGUUAGGGAAGAACAAGUGCUAGUUGAAUAAGCUGGCACCUUGACGGUACCUAACCAGAAAGCCACGGCUAACU
rnacentral:rRNA from 1 species